AUUGAACGCUGGCGGCAUGCCUUACACAUGCAAGUCGAACGGUAACAGGGAGCUUGCUCCGCUGACGAGUGGCGAACGGGUGAGUAAUGUAUCGGAACGUACCUUUUAGUGGGGGAUAACGUAGCGAAAGUUACGCUAAUACCGCAUAUUCUCUGAGGAGGAAAGCAGGGGACCUUCGGGCCUUGCGCUAAUAGAGCGGCUGAUAUCAGAUUAGCUAGUUGGUGAGGUAAAGGCUCACCAAGGCGACGAUCUGUAGCGGGUCUGAGAGGAUGAUCCGCCACACUGGAACUGAGACACGGUCCAGACUCCUACGGGAGGCAGCAGUGGGGAAUUUUGGACAAUGGGGGCAACCCUGAUCCAGCCAUGCCGCGUGAGUGAAGAAGGCCUUCGGGUUGUAAAGCUCUUUCGGCCGGGAAAAAAUCGCAUGGGUUAAUACCCUGUGUGGAUGAUGGUACCGGAAUAAGAAGCACCGGCUAACUACGUGCCAGCAGCAGCCGCGGUAA
rnacentral:rRNA from 1 species